rnacentral:lncRNA from 1 species
UUAGAGAAUCCCUCAAUUCCUCACUAGAUAUACACUCUUUUUUCACUUAGAUUUUCUGACUACACACCCUACACUAGUUAUAUGUGAGAAGAUUGAUGUAAAUAUGAAAACUAAUGCUCACAUAUGUUAUGACAAUAAAAGCAUUUUCUGGAAUUUAUGAAUGUAUGUAUACGAUCUCAUGAAUGGAAUGCUACUACUUAGAUGCGAGAUCCAGGGAUAUUCAUAUGCUCAUACCAACUCCAAAGUCCACAUAUUGAAACACAUAACAAUCAAGAUAGAAGCAAAGGGUUGUAACGGGGCUAAGGUAUUGGCUAACAAAGAAAGGUAAGGAUAAACAAAUAUUCUUAAAGAAUAAUAACAAAGUAAUGAAAUUGAUACUUAGAAUUCACUUUUGCAUGCGAAAAUCAAUGUUUAAACUCAAGGGGAAGAUUCAUGCAACACUUAGGGU